rnacentral:rRNA from 1 species
CUACGGGAGGCAGCAGUGGGGAAUAUUGCACGAUGGGCGAAAGCCUGAUGCAGCAACGCCGCGUGAGUGAUGAAGGUUUUCGGAUCGUAAAACUCUGUUCUAAGGGAAGAUAAUGACGGUACCUUAGGGGAAAGCCCCGGCUAACUACGUGCCAGCAGCCGCGGUAAUACGUAGGGGGCAAGCGUUAUCCGGAAUUACUGGGCGUAAAGGGUGCGUAGGUGGCCUGACAAGUCAGGGGUCAAAGGCAACGGCUCAACCGUUGUAAGCCCUUGAAACUGUCGGGCUUGAGUUCAGGAGAGGAAAGCGGAAUUCCAAGUGUAGCGGUGAAAUGCGUAGAUAUUUGGAGGAACACCAGUGGCGAAGGCGGCUUUCUGGACUGAUACUGACACUGAGGCACGAAAGCGUGGGGAGCAAGCAGGAUUAGAAACCCCGGUAGUCC